rnacentral:rRNA from 1 species
CCUACGGGUGGCUGCAGUCGAGAAUCUUCCGCAAUGGGCGAAAGCCUGACGGAGCGACGCCGCGUGGAGGAUGAAGGCCUUCGGGUUGUAAACUCCUGUCACGAGUUAAGAAGUGUAGUCAGCGAACAGUUGGCUGCAUUGACGUAAGCUCGAGAGGAAGCACUGGCUAACUCUGUGCCAGCAGCCGCGGUAAUACAGAGAGUGCAAACGUUGUUCGGAAUUACUGGGCUUAAAGCGCACGUAGGCGGCGCCAUAAGUGUCGGGUGAAAUCCCAC